GAAGGAGGAAUCUCUUUGAGAGAAUUAUUAAUUGAAUUUAGCAAACCACUACUUCCUGUGGCAAGAGCCGGCAUAUUAUUUGCAGAAAUAUUGCACCUUCUCUGCAAACAAAUAAUGAGCUAGCCAAAAGGAAGUGGAGGCCUUAUGGAGGAACUCUAAACUGAGCUGUGCUGAUUUUCUUCCUGAAACCGUGGAUGGGAAUUUCAUUUGUUAGUUUAAGAACAUUGUCAGUGAACUCAAAUGGCAGCUCGUCUGAUCAGAAAAGAGAAAAGUGUUUGUGUUUGUGGUGUAAAAAGCAGUGUGUUGGGUGGUAGACUUGAUGCAGUUUUAUUUCUAAACCAGCACAAAUGCUGCCUUUAAGAAGAACAUCUUC